CGGUACCGGAAGAAUAAGCACCGGCUAACUUCGUGCCAGCAGCCGCGGUAAUACGUAGGGUGCAAGCGUUAAUCGGAAUUACUGGGCGUAAAGCGUGCGCAGGCGGUUAUGCAAGACAGAGGUGAAAUCCCCGGGCUCAACCUGGGAACUGCCUUUGUGACUGCAUGGCUAGAGUACGGUAGAGGGGGAUGGAAUUCCGCGUGUAGCAGUGAAAUGCGUAGAUAUGCGGAGGAACACCGAUGGCGAAGGCAAUCCCCUGGACCUGUACUGACGCUCAUGCACGAAAGCGUGGGGAGCAAACAGGAUUAGAUACCCUGGUAGUCCACGCCCUAAACGAUG
rnacentral:rRNA from 1 species